ACUCAGAUGCAGAUUGGGGUGGUGAUUGUACGGAUCGCAAAUCUACCACUGGUUUUUGUAUAUUUUUGGGAGAUUCUCUUAUUUCUUGGAAGAGUAAAAAACACACUGUUGUCUCUCGUUCGUCUACAGAAGCAGAAUAUCGUGCCAUGGCCUCCACUAUCGCUGAAAUUGUUUGGUUGCAUUGGUUACUUGCCGAUAUGGGUGUUAUUUUCUCAGAUCCCACUCCGAUGCAUUGUGACAAUGUUAGUGCUAUUCAGAUUACUCGCAACUCCAUUUUCAUGAGCGCACGAAACAUAUUGAGAUAGAUUGCCAUCUUACUCAUCACCACUAUCAGAAUGGGACCAUCACCUUACCAUUUGUCACUUUCGCUAUGCAGAUUGCUUACUUGUUUACGAAGGCUCAUUCUAUUUCUCAUUUUCGUUUAUUAGUUAGCAAACUCUCGAUGCUUCCCGCAAAUACAUCGUGAGUUUGAGGGGGGAUGUUAAUAAUAUAAGUUUUAUUAAUAUGUAAGGGUAGUUUAGUCUUUUAGCCUCUCAAUAUUUUGGCUAUAUAUUUUGUUGCUCUUGUACUCUUAUCUCUAUCUUUUUGAUAUGAUGAAAACCUAGCCUCCCUUUUGAUUCUCUCUCAAAUCUCCUUUGUUUAUUUACAAAAUUAUGACAACCAAUACAACAACAAAGAAAAAUUCAUCCAUGUGCCAGUAACGAGAUCCAUGCCAUUGUAUCGGCGUGUUUCAUAAACAAUGCUGCUGCAAAGUUUUGCAAGAUGAAAAUGACUUCGUUGGCCAACAGAGAUAGCCUCAGCUCCGAUGAAAACGUGGCCGCCUACGUUGAAAAAUGGGGAGCGUGCCCGAGUGAAGAAGAGAAGAAUACAGAGCCUACUUAUACCAUUCCUCCGUUGAUAUUGGCGGGUCACAACAAAGAAGAUAGGGCAUCACGUACGUAUGGAGGCUGGCUUUUCCAAUUUGGCCCAUGAUAAAAAUGACCCACAGAUUAUAAAAAACAUGAGUCAUGGCUUAUUUAAUUCAGGUCCAAAUCAAUGUGAGACACCAAGUGAAAACCAAGGUACAAUGGGCUCAAAUCAAUUGAAUGAUUUCUCUGAAAAGUUUGAUUAUUAUUUUGACUAAGUUCAAAUUGAGGAGCAUAGAAAAAUAAAAAUUGAUGGUUUCAAAAUUAAAAGGUCUCGCUCAAGCCCACUGGACUCAAUAAGUGCAUCAAUGAAAGAAAGAAGGUAAAAAAUUGGUGCAAACUUGGACACUCAUGAAACAACUCAGUAAGUUUUUUCUUCCUCCUAAUUUUGAUCCAAUUUUAUUUAAAAAAAACUGCAAUUGUAGGCAAGGAGAAAUAUUAGUAUUAGAAUAUGACAAUGAGUUUUCUAAGCUAUGCCAACUACUUAAUGUUGAUGAAUUUGAGAUCCAACGAGUUGUUAGAUUUCUUAGUGGGUUAAAAGAAGAAAUUCGGGAGAAGAUGUGCUUGUUCUUUUUGUGUAAUUUAUUUGAGACUAUUGUCUUGGCCACCAAAAUUGAGUUUGAUUUGUUGUUCGAAAAAGAAAGCUUUCAAGAAGAACAUGAAUGCAAAGCAAGGUUUAUUUGAUGCUAAGUUUGUCUAUGAAGAAUUUGGUACUUUUGGUAUUGCUUUUGAAGACUUUGAGACUAAAAUGGAAAUGCGACAUUAAUGGUGGAUAGCUUGGCCUAUGUUAUCAUUUUGUUUGGCUAUCUCUUUGCUACCAUUGUGCCUUUUGAAUGGGUUAGAAGACUUUUCUGUUGGGGUUUACUACUCUUACAAGUUCAACAAUAGUGUUAUUUGCUUCAUUAGUUCAAGCUUCCUUCAAUCCUUAUGCAGCCUUUUUGUGUGCUUCAAUUUUAAUUUGAGAUCGAGUUCUUUCAUAAAGAGAGUGAAUGAUGUAGUAUGAAUAAUCUAGAAUAUUAUGAUGUGUCCCAAUAAUAAUUUCUCAUUUUGUUUAUUUACUUUAUUUUUUCAUAUUUGUUAGGGUUCUAUAAAUACAUCACUUGUUUUAUUGUAAGGGAACUUUUGGAA